GUCGCACGGCGGGUUCGGGAAAAGACGGCACCGUUCGGCGCUUUGGUCGGGGGAACGGGCUCGCGGCCUAUCAGCUUCGUUGGUGGGGUCGAAGGCCUGCCAAGGCUUUCGACGGGUAGCCGGCCUGAGAGGGUGGGCGGUCACACUGGGACUGAGAUACGGCCCAGACUCCUACGGGAGGCAGCAGUGGGGAAUAUUUGCACAAUGGGCGGAAACCUGAUGCAGCGACGUCGCGUGAGGGAUGGAGGCCUUCGGGUUUGUGAACCUCUUUCGCCAGUGAGGAAGGCCUUUGCCCGUGUGGUGGGGUUGACGGUAGCUGGGUUAAUUGAAGCGCCGGCUAACUACGUGCCAGCAGCCGCGGUAAUACGUAGGGCGCGAGCGUUGUCCGGAAUUAUUGGGCGUAAAGGGCUUGUAGGCGGUUGGUCGCGUCUGCCGUGAAAUCCUCUGGCUCAGCUGGGGGCGUGCGGUGGGUACGGGCUGGCUUGAGUGCGGUAGGGGAGGCUGGAACUCCUGGUGUAGCGGUGGAAUGCGCAGAUAUCAGGAGGAACACCGGUGGCGAAGGCGGGUCUCUGGGCCGUUACUGACGCUGAGGAGCGAAAGCGUGGGGAGCGAACAGGAUUAGAUACCCUGGUAGUCCACGCUGUAAACGUUGGGCACUAGGUGUGGGGGGUCUUUCCGGGUCUUCCGCGCCGUAGCUAACGCAUUAAGUGCCCCGCCUGGGGAGUACGGCCGCAAGGCUAAAACUCAAAGGAAUUGACGGGGGCCCGCACAAGCGGCGGAGCAUGCGGAUUAAUUCGAUGCAACGCGAAGAACCUUACCAAGGCUUGACAUGUGCCGGUUGUCCUUCGGAGACGGGGGGUCCUCCCUAUUUGUGGGGGUCGGUUCACAGGUGGUGCAUGGUUGUCGUCAGCUCGUGUCGUGAGAUGUUGGGUUAAGUCCCGCAACGAGCGCAACCCUUGUCCCGUGUUGCCAGCACGUUGUGGUGGGGACUCGCGGGAGACUGCCGGGGUUAACUCGGAGGAGGGUGGGGAUGACGUCAAAUCAUCAUGCCCCUUAUGUCUUGGGCUUCACGCAUGCUACAAUGGCCGGUACAGUGGGUUGCGAUGUCGUGAGGCGGAGCGAAUCCCUUAAAGCCGGUCUCAGUUCGGAUCGGUGUCUGCAACUCGACACCGUGAAGCUGGAGUCGCUAGUAAUCGCAGAUCAGCAGCGCUGCGGUGAAUACGUUCUCGGGCCUUGCACACACCGCCCGUC
rnacentral:rRNA from 1 species